AGCACUCGUGAAUUGCAAUUAUUUGAAAUUUGAACAAAAAAAUACAGACCACAGUAGUGCAGAGUUCUAAUAGUUCUAUUCAUAAAUAUUAUUACAUAAUCGCCAUGCAUAAGUGUAUUGUUUUUAGUAAAACAUCCGAAGUAUCGCCUAGCCACAUUAUGUUGGUUUUAAUUUAUUUCCAAAAAAUGAAAAUAGAAGGAAAUAAUGUCUAAACAUGUUUGAAUUAAAUGAUUAUCCCAAUUUCUAUCUGACAUUGUAUCUGCGGAUUAUUUCUCAAUUACUGAUUGUAAUCAAUGAUCUCAAAACAUAAUCCAAACCGUUUUUCUGGGAUAGAGAAGAAAAAUACUCUGAGCACGACUAAUAAAUUGCAUCUAUAAAAUUGUGUUUCAAAUGAAGGUGUCUUUCGUACUGCGGUGGUAGACGACGGUGUUGUCAACAGAACCGAACAAUGUCAGCGAGGGUGGAGCGUGACGUCGCUACUUGUUGCCGGUCGUUAGCAGACAAAAUAUUGCACAAAUAAGCGAGUUGUGCAUGACGGCCAGAAAAUUGUGUUUCGAAUGACGGUGUUGGUUGUGCUGUGCUGUGCCGCUGCGGUGGUAGACGACUGUGUUAUCUCCAGAACCGAACAAUGUCUGCAAGGGUAAAGCGUAUCAUCCAACGAUGAGGUUGAAGAAAAUGAAAAGACAAAUAAAGAAUUUGGAGACGUUACAAUUGAUGAAUUUAAUUCACCCAGAAAAUCCUUAGAUACUUAAUAAUGUCUAAUUCACAUACACUUAUUUCAUUCAGUGGAUUAUACUUAUAUUUUCCAAACUGAAAUAUACGAUGUACCACAUACAAGGAGCUAGGAAGUUCUAUUGAAGUGUAAAAUCAUGUAAACAUUAUGAACAUCUAAACUUUCAUAUAGAUACAAACUAAUAAGAUGUACACCUUAAUUAUUGAUACAGAAUUCCUCACUGGUGAUCUGAUUGUUGUGCAUAGGCGUUCCCCAGAUUUUACUUCAGAUGCAGCAUAGAUGGCUAAUUUCUAGAGAAGUAAAAUACAUUUUAGUAAUUCACAGACACAUUGGUACUACUCUGAGCACGACUAAUAAAUUAUAUCCAAGAGAAAAUUGUGUUUCUCCAACGAUGAGUUAGAAGAAAAUGAACAGACUAAUAAAGAAUUUGGUAUCGCCAACCGCAGCAAGGGGACUGUAGAUAUAUACUUCCUGUAUUGUGAUUUCCAAAAAACGAAAAUAGAAGGAAAAUAAUGGCGGUAAUCAUUUCUACAGCAACACUGGUAGUACUGCUCUGAGCACGACUAGUAAAUCUUAUCUAAGAAAAUAUUGUGUUUUUCCGACGAUAAGUUAGAAGAAAUUGAACAGACGAAUAAAGGAUAUGGAGACCUUACAGUUGAUGAUUUUAAUUCACCCAGAAAAGCCUUAGAUACUUAAUAAUGUCUAAUUCACACACACUUAUAAUAGUUGGCAUGAGCUGUGAAAAGAUAUAUUAUAUUUAAGAUGUAGGCUGUUAAUAAAUUUGUGGUGUCCUACAUAUGCAUACAUACAAAGUUUACUGGUCGUCAAAUACGUUCCCAUUCAUGGAAUUUACUUCUCAACAAGAAAAGACAAACUUCUUUGGAAGAAGGCUAAGCAAACACCAAUUACCUUCAAUUGCACUCUGAAUCAUCUUUUUGAAUAAAAUUAUAUGUCUAAGACUUACUUAUAAUUAUAAGAAAACUUUAUUUUUAAAUUUUAUAGUUUGAGGAAAAAGUAUUUAUGAUCUUUAUUAGUUAUACCAUCAUAGUUUUCAUACUUGUCGUAUUUAUAGCUUAAUUGUAAUUUAAAAUUUAGAGAUAUAUGACUAAUGUGCUGUAAUUUAUUGUUAUACUUGUAGUAGUUUUUUGUACAUACUAAAUAAGAAAUUUUAAGUGAGUAAGAAGAAAUAAAUUUGAAUAUAAUACAAGAUAUGACUGUAGGCAUUUAAAACAAUGAGAACAUUCUGUUUUUAUAUCUAUGGAUAUCACAGAACUUUAAAA